rnacentral:rRNA from 1 species
UGACGCUGAAGCUCGAAGGUGCGGGUAUCGAACAGGAUUAGAUACCCUGGUAGUCCGCACAGUAAACGAUGGAUGCUCGUUGUUCGCCCAAUUGAGGGUGAGUGACUUAGGGAAACCGUUAAGCAUCCCACCUGGGGAGUACGCCGGCAACGGUGAAACUCAAAGGAAUUGACGGGGGCCCGCACAAGCGGAGGAACAUGUGGUUUAAUUCGAUGAUACGCGAGGAACCUUACCCGGGCUUGAACUGUAGGAGAACGAUACAGAGAUGUUGAGGUCCUUCGGGACUCCUAUGGAGGUGCUGCAUGGUUGUCGUCAGCUCGUGCCGUGAGGUGUCGGCUUAAGUGCCAUAACGAGCGCAACCCUUUUCGUCAGUUGCCAUCAGGUCAUGCUGGGCACUCUGGUGAUACUGCCGCCGCAAGGUGUGAGGAAGGUGGGGAUGACGUCAAAUCAGCACGGCCCUUACGUCCGGGGCUACACACGUGUUACAAUGGGGCAUACAGAAGGCCGGUUCGUGGCAACACGGAUCCAAUCUUUAAAGUGCCUCGUAGUUCGGAUUGGGGUCUGCAACCCGACCCCAUGAAGCUGGAUCGCUAGUAAUCG